rnacentral:tRNA from 1 species
GGCCCAUUAGCUCAGUUGGUUAGAGAGUCGUGCUAAUAACGCGAAGAUGCGGGUUCGAUCCCAUCAUGGGCCA